CUUCAAAAUACCAAAUACAAACCAAACCUUUCCUCUAUACUAUUCGAAAUAAAAUUAAAGUUUCUAGAGAUUAGUUACAUAUAUAAUUAGUAUCUUUUUCUCUCUAUAUUCCCUGUGGAAUUCGACCCCAACCUUGUUUGGGUUACUAUAUUUGACAACGUCCGCUUUACGCCAAUAAUAGGUGUAAUUUGAGCGUAUCAAGAACAAAUUACAAUCAAUUGUCAAUGAUCUACGAUAUCUAGCGAGCAAUCCUUGAGCGUCACCAUAUGUUGCGUUGUACUCAUCAAAGUCCACAAUGAUGCGCUCUCCAACAAUUAGGUUGUUAACCUCAUUGAACUUGACGUUAAUCUGCUUGAUAGCAUUUUUUGAGUCUUUAGCAAGAAA